CCUACGGGGGGCAGCAGUGAGGAAUAUUGGUCAAUGGGCGAGAGCCUGAACCAGCCAAGUCGCGUGAGGGAGUACUGCCCUAUGGGUUGUAAACCUCUUUUGUCGGGGAGCAAAAGCCGGACGUGUCCGGCUGUGAGAGUACCCAAAGAAAAAGCAUCGGCUAACUCCGUGCCAGCAGCCGCGGUAAUACGGAGGAUGCGAGCGUUAUCCGGAUUUAUUGGGUUUAAAGGGUGCGCAGGCGGAUUUUUAAGUCAGCGGUAAAAUCGUGGGGCUCAACCCCAUCCAGCCGUUGAAACUGGGGAUCUAGAGUGUGCGAGAGGUAUGCGGAAUGCGUGGUGUAGCGGUGAAAUGCAUAGAUAUCACGCAGAACCCCGAUUGCGAAGGCAGCAUACCGGUGCACAACUGACGCUCAGGCACGAAAGCGUGGGUAUCGAACAGGAUUAGAUACCCCAGUAGUC
rnacentral:rRNA from 1 species